AAGGAGAUUGGAGCUGAGGGAAUAGGCCAUAGGCAGUGCUCUCAGGUGAAUAGGAGUACCCCACCCUGGCUCUCCUGACAUUUCUUCUUAUCCCUUCUGUAGCCAUCGUCAGCCAGUGGCAGCAGGAGUCCAAAGAGAAGGUGGUGUCCCUCCUUCUGUCCCACCUUCCCCUGCUUCAGCCAGGCAACACAGAGGCCAAGUCGGAGUACAUGAGGCUAUUGCAGAAAGUGCUGGCCUACUCAAUCGAGAGCAAUGCUUUCAUCGAGGAGAGUCGCCAGCUGCUUUCCUAUGCCCUCAUCCACCCAGCCACCACACUGGAGGACCGCAACGCACUGGCCCUCUGGCUGAGCCACCUGGAAGAGCGGUUGGCUAGUGGUUUCCGCUCCCGGCCAGAGCCCUCCUACCAUUCACGCCAAGGCUCAGAUGAGUGGGGGGGCCCUGCAGAGCUAGGCCCUGGGGAGGCAGGGCCAGGCUGGCAGGACAAGCCACCCCGGGAAAAUGGACACGUGCCCUUCCACCCAUCCAGCUCAGUGCCGCCAGCCAUCAACAGUAUUGGGAGCAAUGCAAACACAGGUCUCCCCUGCCAAAUCCACCCUAGCCCACU
rnacentral:sRNA from 1 species